UACGUAGGGCGCAAGCGUUGUCCGGAAUUAUUGGGCGUAAAGAGCUCGUAGGUGGUUUGUCGCGUCUGUCGUGAAAGCCCAUGGCUUAACUGUGGUCUGCGGUGGAUACGGGCAGGCUGGAGGCAGGUAGGGAGAACGGAUUCCGGUGUAGCGGUGAAAUGCGCAGAUAUCGGGAGGAACACCGUGCGAAGGCGGUUCUCUGGGACGGUACUGGACGCUGA
rnacentral:rRNA from 1 species